UAGUCCUAGCCGUAAACGUUGUACACUAGGUGUGGGGGGAGUUGACCCCUUCCGCGCCCAAGCUAACGCGAUAAGUGUACCGCCUGGGGAGUACGGCGGCAACGCUAAAACUCAAAGGAAUUGACGGGGGCCCGCACAAGCGGUGGAGCAUGUGGCUUAAUUCGAGGCAACGCGAAGAACCUUACCUGGGUUUGACAUAUAGUGGACAGGCCAUGAAAGUGGUUUUCCCUUCGGGGUCGCUAUACAGAUGCUGCACGGCUGUCGUCAGCUCGUGUCGUGAGAUGUUCGGUUAAGUCCGGCAACGAGCGCAACCCGUGUCGUCAGUUGCCAUCAGGUAAUGCUGGGAACUCUGACGAAACUGCCCGUGUUAAGCGGGAGGAAGGCGCGGACGACGUCAAGUCCGUAUGGCUCUUACACCCAGGGGCUGCACACGUGCUACAAUGGCUGGUACAAUGAGAAGCGAAACCGUGAGGGUGGAGC
rnacentral:rRNA from 1 species